GAUGAACGCUGGCGGCGUGCUUAACACAUGCAAGUCGAACGGAAAGGCCAGUGCUUGCACUGGUACUCGAGUGGCGAACGGGUGAGUAACACGUGGGUGAUCUGCCCUGCACUUCGGGAUAAGCCUGGGAAACUGGGUCUAAUACCGGAUAGGACAAUGGUUUGGAUGCCGUUGUGGAAAGUUUUUUCGGUGUGGGAUGAGCUCGCGGCCUAUCAGCUUGUUGGUGGGGUAAUGGCCUACCAAGGCGUCGACGGAUAGCCGGCCUGAGAGGGUGUACGGCCACAUUGGGACUGAGAUACGGCCCAGACUCCUACGGGAGGCAGCAGUGGGGAAUAUUGCACAAUGGGCGCAAGCCUGAUGCAGCGACGCCGCGUGGGGGAUGACGGCCUUCGGGUUGUAAACUCCUUUCGCUAGGGACGAAGCGUAUUUGUGACGGUACCUGGAGAAGAAGCACCGGCUAACUACGUG
rnacentral:rRNA from 1 species